rnacentral:lncRNA from 1 species
UUGAAAGCCAGCAUUGGGUGUGUAGGAUUUAAGCCUAUAGAUAGCCUUGUUGGAAUAAAGGAAAAGGAAGAUCAAAGGAGAGCACGCUGGUGGAGGACGGCGCCGGCUAACCUUGCUAACCAUUAGGAAUUGCUAUUAAGAAAAGAGAGAUACAAUUGUUUGUUUUGAGCAGUUUGUUCUAUAAGGUAUUUUUUUGUUUUUCUUUGUUUUUUUUUUCUCUCUUUUUAAUUUUUCCCAUCCCAUUUUCUAAAAGCUUUAUUUAAAAGCUUGAGAUUUGGGAUCUUUUUUGGUGCAGAGGUCUUAUUUAUUUGUGUGUGUGUGUGUGUGUGUGUGUGUGUGUGUGUGUGUGUGUGUGUGUGUGUUGUGGUCACAGCUGACUCAUCAUGUCUGCCCUGACGCCUCCGACUGAUAUGCCAACCCCCACCACUGACAAGAUAACCCAGGCUGCCAUGGAGACCAUCUACCUCUGCAAAUUCCGGGUGUCUAUGGAUGGAGAAUGGCUCUGCCUUCGAGAGCUGGAUGACAUCUCCCUUACACCUGACCCAGAGCCUACCCAUGAAGAUCCUAAUUAUCUCAUGGCUAACGAGCGCAUGAACCUGAUGAACAUGGCGAAGCUGAGCAUCAAGGGCUUGAUUGAGUCGGCUCUGAACCUGGGGCGGACCCUGGACUCUGACUACGCACCUC